GGUCAGCAAGCGGAAUAGGUAUCGCAUUGGACCGACAAUCCAGAGAUGUGGGUUCGAAUCCCACGUUGACCA